AACGCACGAGACCUGCGGACCUGCGGAAGGAUCAUUAUAAAAAUAUGGUCGAACCAUUCUCCUGUGAUUACGUAAUGUGUAUACUUUGGCAGGCUUUGGGUCGUUAUCGAUUCAUCUUCUACGUUCGUGUAUAUGCUUCGCUAUGCGCACGAAGGUUUGAAGCUGGCCUGCCAGAGGUUUUCAAUAAACACACACGUUUAAACUACAGUCUGAAAAUCUCUUUCGAGAGAAUAAAAAACA
rnacentral:misc_RNA from 1 species